GUGGGGGAGAUGGCCCCGGAAUGAAGCCAGCCCGCACAGGUCCGCGCUCCCUUCCUCCCCCGCAGCCGCACUCACCCACUUCUGAAUAGGCCUUGUGGCCCCCGCCCGCUCUUCUGAGCCGGCUGAGUACGGCAGCGACAACGACUCCACGUGCAGUCUCUCCGGGUUAAGACCUGAAGCUUCCACGACUCGAAUGCGAGGCCCCCGGGCCCUUCCCGCGGAAUCGGCGCUAGGAAACCCCAACCCCCCCACCCGCCUCCCAGGCUCCCCCGGGUCCAGAACUACAACUCCCAGCAGGUUGCGCGAAAGGAACGCCCGGGACAACAGGCUCACGAGGAACAAGGACGCACAACGCCCCAAUCCGUUCUUUUUCACACUCUUUCGCCUUCACUGUACAUUUGUACACUUCCAACAACCCCAAGAAACAGGAGGUUGACUCCCAGUGGGGACUGAACUAGGGGAGAGGCCAGUCAAACUGCGCAUGCGUAAAAACAAGGUUUCCAGAAGGGAAAAAAAGAGUAGGUCAAGUUAGGCGAAGGAAAGAUGGCGGAUACUUCGCUAGGAGACCCGGAAGCACUUACCCUCCACUUCCUCCUCCUGUUUGGCUUCUGUCUCACCUAGAGCCGUCCGGUCGCAGACUGUCUUCGAGACGCUUCCUGUCCGGUGAGCGUCGACCGAUUGCAGCGGCGGCCCAUAAUGCAUUGCGAUGGCGGGGAGGCGGGUGGGGGCGGAGCCAGAGCCGGAAGUAGAACGGUGGCGGAGGCGUUGGAGGUGGCUGUGUGGCAACUCGGGACUGAAGUGCAAGAUUCACCAUGAUUCUCCAGAGGCUCUUCAGGUUUUCCUCUGUCAUUCGGUCAGCACUGUCAGUCCAUUUGCGGAGGAACUUUGGUGUUACAGCAGUGGCAUUUAAUAAGGAACUUGAUCCUAUACAGAAACUUUUCCUGGACAAGAUUAGAGAAUACAGAUCUAAGCGACAGUAACAUCUGGAGGACCUGUUGAUGUUGGCCCAGAAUAUCAGCAAGAGCUGGAGAAGGAGCUUUUUAAGCUUAAGCAAAUGUAUGGUAAAGCAGACAUGAAUACAUUCCCAAGCUUCCAAUUCGAAGAUCCCAAAUUUGAAGCUGUUGAAAAACCCCAGUCCUGAAGCAAUAUAUAAAAUCAGUCUGGUAAUUUUUCGUGGAUUAUUGUACAACUAAGUGGUGGUAUCAGAAUAAAUAUAUAUUUCACAAUUGUCAAAUGUUCUUUUGUUAAUUCUGAUUCCAAAUAAAUUAGUGAUGUUGA